GGACCAUUAGCUCAGCUGGUUAGAGCAAACGGCUCAUAACGGUUAGGUCAUAGGUUCGAGUCCUGUAUGGUCCA
rnacentral:tRNA from 1 species